ensembl:lncRNA
CGUUGUGGAUUAGGGAAUGAAAAGAAAGAAAGGGGCAUUUUCACUGGCAUUCUUAAUUCAUGAUCCAACUGGGGCUCUUUAAAGCAGUAGCCUGAUCCCAAGGCUGCCUGCAGCUCAGUCCCCUGCCCCUGCUCACAGGCCAGUUCUGGGGCUGCUCUCUCUGGAGAGCCGGGGUACAGAGCCAGGAGCCCCGACUGCAUCAUCCCGAACUUACUUAAGUUCUGCACAUUCUUUUAGAAUUUCAUUAUCUGGACUGCAUGGGCGAGACCAGGGUAAACUACUCCACAACAGUGGAGAGCCACGGGGGUGAACAAAAAAGAGGCAUGAAGAGCUUUGGAAAAUGUUUGGCAUGUAUUUGGUUAUGUGUUUAAUUUUUUUAAAAAUAACAACCAGAUGAAAUCCUUAAAGGCAUGACUUUUAAAGUUAUUCUUCAGACCAUGACAUGAAGGACUCAAGGUGUGAAGCCACAAUGUUUUUCAACUACAGCAACAAUAAAUUUCUUAAUAGGCAUUCAAGUUCAAGAAGCUUCUUACUCCAGCAGAAUGAAGUAAAACCUGCUGGAAAGCCCUAGCCCUUUAACCUUCUUCAGCUAAGUCUUCCAUUUCACUCAAGGGAUGUGAUACUUAUAUUAAGAGAGGAAUGAUUUGAAUGUUCAGACAUUACUGUGUGACCCUCCAAUGAGUUCUUCCGAUGGGCUAAUAACUCAGUAGGUGCUAGACUUCUGUGUACGUGAAAGUUGCUGUCAAGAGCUGUCUACUCAAAACCAUGUUCGCAGUGGCUUAUGGGAAAGUUAAGGGAUCUUCAAAGUGAAUUUGAAUUAUCUAUGACCUUUGCUUAGCACUUGAACUUAACCUCCCACACAAAAACUGACUCUUUUUUUCCUCCCUCCCUCCAUUUCUACCUCCCUGCCUUACUUUUUUUUUUUUUUUUUUUCUUCCUUUCUUUCUUCUUUCCCUCCCUUCUUGGUAAAUUAAAUUCCAUAGGGGUAUGUGUGUGUGUGUGAAAUUAAAAUAGUGAUGUCUAUUUAUAUUCAAAUCAGAAAGCUACUAGCAUGCUGACUAUUCAGAUCUCUUAGAGGAAAAAAAAAAUUCUGUAAAAGUGUAUGUGAAUUCCCCAUCCUGUGUUUCUACUCAGCUUUCUGUCUUCGAUUUCUCAUUUUUAGCUGGAAAAGUGUACCAGCCAAAAGGCAGCCAGGUUCUCCAUGCGGCAAAGCAUAUCAAACCAUCUGUAGAUAAAAAAAGUAACGUUUUGGCUUAAAAGCCACCUUCUGAUACAAGACAGAGAGAAGAUGAUGGUGACGGAGACAGUAGAGUCGAUGGCAUAUUGUUACUAAGAAUUUGAAAAGAUUUUUCCCACAAAUAAAUCAAGAUAUUCCAUAAUGGUUAAGACCUACGUGAUACAAACAUGUGCAUUUUCUCAAAAAUCGAAAGAAAUUAGACAAGAUACCCAAGAAGUUGGAUUAUGAAGUAGGAGUGCCAGUGAAACUCCUGAAAGUAAUUUAAACAUUGGCAUAGACAUGUUUCAUGCUUCCUUUAUAGCUCUCUCAUGGAAGAGUAACUUAACCUGCAUUUUUGCCAUUAAAGAAGCCUUUUUUUUUUUUUUUUUUUUUUUUUUUUUGCCAUUGUUAAAGUUAAGCUGGCACAUGUGAGAGCUUUUGUAUUGCCAGAAUUUAGGAAACAAACAAACAACACUUUGGCUUGAGUGAAAGGUCUUUGAGGCAAAUGGCCAUGGAGGAAA